CACGUAGGGUGCGAGCGUUGUCCGGAAUUAUUGGGCGUAAAGAGCUCGUAGGCGGUGUGUCGCGUCGGCCGUGAAAACCUGCAGCUUAACUGUGGGCUUGCAGUGGGUACGGGCAGACUAGAGUGCGGUAGGGGUGACUGGAAUUCCUGGUGUAGCGGUGGAAUGCGCAGAUAUCAGGAGGAACACCGAUGGCGAAGGCAGGUCACUGGGCCGCAACUGACGCUGAGGAGCGAAAGCGUGGGGAGCAAACAGG
rnacentral:rRNA from 1 species